CAAGGAAUAAUAAUUUCAGUUUAAAAUUCAUUUCUGUUUCUAUUUUCAUAGGCAUUCUUUCAGAAAUCAAUGCGUUUACCAGGAGAGCCAAGGUGACUGUAAUUUGUGCUCUGCCUGCAAGAGCUAACGCAACAGCGGUAAAUGAAUCAUCAAGAAGUUGCAUGUCUCGUUGUAUGCAUGAAAUUGUUUACCAAAUGAUUAGUGCAAUCGGCUAUUAUCGGGAGUUAGAGCCUGGAAUGCUUGUCUACGAGAAGUCUGACAAAGUGUGAUUUAGAUAUUGUCAUUUUCAACUUGAAAAGCCGCCCUCCAACGCAAAAUGCAGGUGGGAUCAUUCAAAUAGCUGCAACUUUAUCGUUUUCAACAUCCAAGCUAGUUCACUAUUAUACAGAGUUAGGCAUUGCUGCAGCAGUAAGAUCGAUUCCCAGGCAGUUUGCUUACAUAAGCCAUGACGACAAGAACCACAAUGAUGGCAACAGCAUUCAUAUCCGCCUUACGCCAGUGCACGGAAGAAGGAAGACCAUGAGCUUGUUGGAACUAAGAACAAGGAUGAAUGAAGGUUUGAUAGAACCUUGAGUUUGAAGGCUUGUUGCUUGGUGAAGAAACAAAACAGAAUUUGCUUGAAAUGAUAAAAAAUGAAAGCAAAGAAAAGGGAGUUUUGUAAUGUAUUCUGAUAAAUUUCAUUAACAUUCGAAUGAA